UACAGAGGGGGCUAGCGUUAUUCGGAAUUAUUGGGCGUAAAGGGCGCGUAGGCGGCCAUGCGUGUCUUCCGUGAAAUCCCUCGGCUUAACUGAGGACGUGCGGAAGAAACUGCAAGGCUCGAGUCCGGGAGAGGGGGGUGGAAUUCCCAGUGUAGCGGUGAAAUGCGUAGAUAUUGGGAGGAACACCGGUGGCGAAGGCGGCCCCCUGGACCGGUACUGACGCUGAGGCGCGAAAGCUAGGGGAGCGAACGGG
rnacentral:rRNA from 1 species